rnacentral:rRNA from 1 species
ACUCAAAGGAAUAGACGGGGACCCGCACAAGCAGUGGAGUAUGUGGUUUAAUUCGAAGCAACGCGAAGAACCUUACCAGGUCUUGACAUCCGACUAACGAGGCAGAGAUGCGUCAGGUGCCCUUCGGGGAAAGUCGAGACAGGUGGUGCAUGGUUGUCGUCAGCUCGUGUCGUGAGAUGUUGGGUUAAGUCCCGCAACGAGCGCAACCCUUGUCAUUAGUUGCUACGCAAGAGCACUCUAAUGAGACUGCCGUUGAGAAAACGGAGGAAGGUGGGGACGACGUCAAAUCAUCAUGCCCCUUAUGACCUGGGCUACACACGUACUACAAUGGCCGUUAACAACGGGAAGCAAGGGCGCGAGCCGGAGCAAACCCCCAAAAACGGUCUCAGUUCGGAUCGCAGGCUGCAACCCGCCUGCGUGAAGUCGGAAUUGCUAGUAAUCGCGGAUCAGCAUGCCGCGGUGAAUACGUUCCCGGGUCUUGCACACACCGCCCGU